AUGACCGUGGUCGGGGUGCCGCCGGCCAGGUCGUUGAGCACGUCCAGGACCUCGGUGGUGGUGCCGGAGCGGGUGAUCGCGACGACCCGGUCGUA
rnacentral:tRNA from 1 species